AUUGGCCGCAAUUAUCUGAUCUACACGCGCGGACUCGCCCACCACUGUGUGCUCCUCGCCGCUGCCCCCAUCGCCCUCCCCAUCACCGCACCGCCCCGCAUCGCAUCCCUAGCCACCACCGCGCCGCCCUGGCCCUCGUACUCACCACCGCGCCGCCCCACCACCACCGUGCGUUCCUUCCCGUCAUGCCGGCCGCUCCGUUGUGUCGUUCCCCGUCGGGCCGGCCACCCCGCUAGCUGCUCCCUGUCACAUCGAUCUGCUCGCGGUCGUGUCUUCUUGCCAAGGUCUGUCCACCCUUCUAGCACGUACAUGAAUUUUUCAGGCCCCUACACCAGUAGGUAAAUCGACAACCACCGAGUGCUCCCUCUGAUUGAUGCUUGAGGUUGAUUUGGAACAUCUUCAGUAAUUGCAAUAUUCGAUAACCUGCACGAGGACUUUCCUUUAGGCUAGCGCCUCUGUUAUUGUUGCUGUGAUGACAUGACUUAACUGUCUUUAUUGGUAAACUACAAAUAUCGGUUUGGGACAUUUUGGGGACCCCGUCACUUUGGUAAUUGCAUUUCUAGAAGUCUGAAAAUAGGAAAAACUAUCAAUUUUUGUUCCUAACAUCGGCAUAGAAGAGGACAAAAUCAAUAUAGGCUACCUGAAACGAUCAGUAGAAACAACCUGGAGCUAUACCUUUGGGUUCCAUUUGUUCAGUUAACUACCACUGACGGGAAAUUUGCAACUGCCUUUCAACUGCUCUAAAAAAUUAUGGAUCGGAUGAACUCUUUCUUUGUUGUGCAAUUCGAUUAACCAAGCAUACAAGUGAGGCACUCUUUCUCAAGCAGUCAAAUCAGUUCUAAGCUAUUAGGAGUAGUAACUUAGGCAUCUUUGUUCAGUCAACAAGAAAAUUUAUAAGCUAAUAAGUAGCUCUCAGACUAGAUUGACACCCACUGUCCUAUCUUAUAUUUACCAAUUGUUGUCUUGUCUGUUCAUGAUCUAUCUGAAGACUGGGACUAAACUUGUGAAUUCUGUAGGAAAAUCUCAAAUCAAACGAUAAUGUUAUUUCUCGGUUACCACUACUACAUGGUAAAACAAAGGUAAUGUCAAUACAUGGCUAUAUCAUUGCUUGUCACUUGGAACUAUAAUAAUAGCAUUUCAGUUUGUAGAGAGUCCAAUGUGGUGGACCUGUUGAAGCACCUCUAUGCAACGUGAUAUGUCUGAGGAUAAUAUUUUACUUCUUUCACUCGAACAGGUUAUAAGUUCUCUUAGUCAUGUGGAAAACAUAAAAUAUACAAUAAUUACUUGCUUAACAUGCCGUGCUUCCAAACCAGGAUGGCGAGCACGAUAAUGUCAAUGAAACAAGACCGUUUUAUUUAUUCUGUGCUUGAGGUAAUAUUUGCAUGCUUUUGAGUUUUGAAGUUGAAGCUUUCUAUAGCUCCAGGAAAUGAAUACCAUUUCAUCGCAUGUACUAUUAUUUUCUCUUUGUAGGUGAGGAAACGACUAAUCAGACAGGCAAAUCUAUUGCAAGACUAGACCAACAGGAGACUACCUAAAAAAGAAGGCGUACUUCACUGAAGAUUCAUAAGAAGCAUGAUUGAGUUGCAGCUGAAGUCUCCGGUUGGAUCAAGAAUCAAAUAUUUUGAAGUGUCUUCUUAGCAAUAAUUAGUUUACAUAUAUUGAUAUAUUGGAGAAUGUAAUAUUAUUCACAAGAUAUUUUUCUUUCAUUGAACAAUCAAAAUACUAUGGUGUAAUAUUCUUCACAACCGUGUUUUCUUUAGUCCAAUGUGAUGUUCUUGCACAAAUUGUAUUGGUAUUAAUUUACUGUAAUGCACAUGUAUGAUACGCACAUGUGUAUUCAUACUAAAUAUCUUGAUAUUUUCAAUUUAUGA